GUUGUCCUGUCUUGCUCUUCUCUGUUCUCCAUAGGUCAUGCUGUUUCCCUGAUGAAUCAUAGUGUGUCAGCAUGUCUGUUCCAGUUGAAGAACUAGUGUCCACUCAUCACUCUUCCUUUUCUCGGAGCCAGGCGGGCAGAUCAGAAGGAAUAGAACACUCACUUUUGCAAGAGAACUUCACCUCUUUUUUCAAGGUAUUGAUCACCAAAGCUCUACCUAAUAAAGCUGGCACACAAUUUUCCUUCUAAAAAUCUACUUCCUAGGGAAAACAACCUGCAAAAUCUGCAAAUCUUCAGACCGGUG